AUUGAACGCUGGCGGCAGGCUUAACACAUGCAAGUCGAGCGAGCGGCGGACGGGUGAGUAAUGUCUGGGAACCUGCCUGAUGGAGGGGGAUAACUACUGGAAACGGUAGCUAAUCCCGCAUACCAUCAGAUGUGCCCAGCUGGGCUUAGCUAGUAGGUGGGGUAAUGGGUCACCUAGGCGACGAUCCCUAGCUGGUCUGAGAGGAUGACCAGCCACACGGGAACGGAGACACGGGCCAGACGCCUAGGCGAGGAAGCAGUGGGGAAUAUUGCACAAUGGGCGCAAGCCUGAUGCAGCCAUGCCGCGUGUGUGAAGAAGGCCUUCGGGUUGUAAAGCACUUUCAGCGAGGAGGCGUUACUCGCAGAAGAAGCACCGGCUAACUCCGUGCCAGCAGCCGCGGUAAUUC
rnacentral:rRNA from 1 species